UUUGAACAAGAGCAAUAAUUAUUUCACAGGCUUGUUUUGUAGACUAAUGAGUUAAUACAUGUAAAGUGCUUUAAAAUUAUAUAUCUCAGAGUACAAAUUCAAUAUAUAUGCAAUUCAAUUUUAGAUAUUUUUAUAACUAAAUAAAGGGCAGGAGAUUUGCUAUAAAAUAUAUAAAGCCAUCAAGAUGAGAAAAUCAAGCGUACUCCUAAUAAAGUAGUGAUGAUAUUAGAUUCUAAUAAAAUUUAUUUUGACAAAAAUAACCAUUUGAAAAAUAUUUAAGCAGAACCAUUUAAGCAAUUGCUAUUCAAAAGCAUUUAAACUUCCUAAACAGACUCUGGUUCUGGGUAAGAUAAAGUGUACUUUAUCUUUCUUACUGAGUACACCUAUACAACCUGAGUAGAAUGCAUGGAAAAGCUCUAUGUGGACACAGACAAGUAGUUUGUGGUAGGCAGAUUUGGAAAGGCCAGAAUUUAAAGUUCUACCACACUGUGGUAAUUAUACAUUUUUCCCCUUUUUCACCUUCCUGGCCUUGAGGUUGCCUAAAAUCUGGAUGUGUGUAUUUUGGUAGACAGAAAACACUCCAGGAGGGGCCCACCAGUUCUGACUAGAGGAAUGGAAAUGUGGUUUCCUAACAUUCAGAGUUGGUAGGAGAAAUCCCGGUUUUCUUUUCCUUCUUGUACUUCUUUUUGUCUUCCUACUUAAAAUUAUCUCUCAUUCCAUUCAGUUCCUAGGCAGAUCCACUUGCAGAGAUUGGAGUGAUGGCCACAGUGGAAGCAAGGCAGCUUGCAGGCACCUAAAACUCAGAAAACAGAUCCCCACCAAGUGGAUCUGCCAGCACAGCAGGUAGGCUUCAGACAAGGAGGAACUGCAGACUGACCUCUGACCACCACUCCUUGUUAUAAAUUUCUUCCUCCCAGGCCUGGAGAAACUCACCCCCACAAGCCAGAGCUAACAUUCUUCUUUGCAGACCCCAAAUUUUUAAAUCAAGCUUUUCUUCCUUAACCUUUUGUAUAUCAGAAAAUCUUUUAAUCUACCUGUGACCUAUAAGACCCCUCUUCAAGACAUCCCACACUUUUAGGCCAGCACCACUGUGUAACCUCCAUGUAUUGAUUUUAAGUUUUUCCUGUAACUUCUGCUUUCCUGAAAUCUACCCAUGACUUUACCCCUUAUCUGCAAGCCACUGGGGAGGUUGGGACAUAAGUGUAAGCUGCCUGAUUCUCCUUGCUUGGUGCCCUGCAAAUAUAUGCUUUCCUUUUUCCUGCUGCAAAGGUCAGCGUGGAUAUCUGGUCUUACUGCACCAAGUAAGUGGACCCCUGUUCACUUCCAUAACACAUUCUCACCACCAGCCAGGGGCAAGGAGAGUUAAUCAAGUGCAGCCCACUUAGUUUUCAGAAGAGAAGACUGAAGCCCAACAGGUUUUUACCCCAUCAGCUUUCUCUGCCACCUAGAUUGUGAAUACUAUUUACUAUCACUUGUUUUCUGGGCUUAGAAGCGUGACAACCCAACUUUAAAUCUAAUUCCUAUGUCCCACAUCAACUUUCUAUCUUCUUCUAUUUCUCAGAAACUUCUCUUAUAUUUGUGUGUAAACCAGAAAUAAAAUUCUAAGACCCCUCAACUGACUGAACAGAUCCCCCUUUUGGCCAAGGGCAUUCCAAAGUAAACCUGAAAAACAAGUGCAGUUCAUGAUGGGAAGGGGGAAUCGGACAUGUCUCAUUAUGCCUUCCUCCCUUUGGAAUUCAGGCACAACUGACCAGCAUUAAGAUUAAGACAGAUAUCUUAAGACUGACAAAACACUUUGUAACAAUAAGAUAUCAAGUUCCAACCUGACUAUAGUAUAGCAUCACAUGACAGAUAGCAGGCCUUGAAAGAAAUGAAAAUAUUUUACCCUAAGAUAUAUUUCUUUGACAUAUUUUGAAAUACCCUGCUAAGAUACCUCUUGUGGGGAAAAUGUGCAUUCUAAAGAGAAUCAUUUUCCCUUUACAAGUUUUUCCUUGAUCCAGGAGAGAUUAAAUAAGAGACUGACACAUUUUUGGAUCUGAUUAGAGACAUUUACUAUCUGUCCUUUCUGAAGGCUACUACCUGGAGGGUUCCUCUGCAAGCCAUUGGGGAUGCAUAAUAAGAACUUUGAUCUCCACAACUCCUUAACUCAACCCAGAUACUCCUUUCUAUUGAUUACAGUUCUUCAAUAAUAAUUUAACUCUUUCAACCAAUUGCCCGUCAGAAAAUCUUUGAAUCCACUUGUGAUCUGGAAACCCCCAUUUUGAGUUGUCCUGCUUUGCCAGACUGAACAAAUGUAUACCUUAUGUGUAUUGAUUGAUGGCUGCUUAUAGCCUCUGACCCCCUAAAAUGUAUAAAAUCUAGCUGUAACCCAACCAUCUUUGGAACAUGUUCUCAGGACUUCCUGGGGCUGUGUCACAGGCAUUGGUCACUCAUAUUUGGCUUCUGAAAAUACGUAAACCUCUUUAAAUAUUUUACAGAGUUUAGCUCUUUUUAUGACAUGUAUAUUUAUUUCUCAGAAAGAUCCCCAACCUUAUUUUUCACCUUGAUUAGAGGGCUGAGGUGGAAUAGGUGGAAAGCUUGUCUGGGGUGUGGAAUUUGGGAGCAUAUUGCAAUGUUCAGUGAUUAAUACUAUUUAGAAGAACAAUUUUUGAAAUAAAAAUUAAUUGCAAAACAUGACGGUAAAAUAGAAAACAGUUAAACAAAAGUAAAAACCAAUUAACAGUGCUUUGUGAAGCAAUAUUAAAAACUGAGGCAAAAUAAUAAUAAUCAAUUAUAUUUGCCUUAUUUUUAUUUGGAAUUUGGAUGGUUUGUUCCUCAUGGAUUUUUCUCUUUUUUGGCAUCAAUUUAGUGUAUUAAACGUUGCAAAUAAAUGGUGCAUGGAAAUGUUCUUUUGAUCGAUGAAUUUUUUGGUGACCCCUUGGAUUUUAGAGCUCAGAAAAAGUGCAUCUCUUGUCUUAACCUGAUCCUGACCCUGAGUACUGCACCUCCUAAGUGGAGACUUAUGGAAACAGCAAGAGGCUCCUGACCAUGAUGAGAAACAGGUUAAAUCAUUUGGAAAUGAGAGCAUGGACAGAAUGAACAAUGUUUUGAGUGAGAGAAGGGGAAAGAUUUAAUUCUUUCUUACAAAAAUGUAUGAAAUUUUUCCUUUAUUGGCUAGCACUAGACAUUUUCUGAAAGGAGGGAUUAAAUUUUAUUGAAGACCACUUUUUUUAAAUAAACUACUUAAUGUGAAGAUAAAACUCUGAAUAUCUACAUUAUUAGUAACCAUGAUGAUUUUCUUAAAAAGACAAUUAAACAGGUUUUUCAAUCAGAAAUACAAAAUAAUAGAGGAGGAAAAAUCUGAUAAGAGAACAGGAGAGGCAUCAUUUUGGGAACAGGAAUUGCCAAUGCCUACGUUGUUUGCAUAUGAAAUGUAGAUUCUUCCAUCUUCCUAAACUUUCCAGUGAAGUCCACAUAAAUGCCUAUGUGAGUAGGUUUUGUCUUAUUUUUGUGUUGUGCAAAUUAGAAAAGGGUACAUAUUUUCUGCCAGUGACAAUAACAGCAAGAAAAUGAGAGAAUUCCUCAAUUGAACUAAUUCAGCAAAAGCAAGAGCUCCAAGUCAGAGAAGGAUAUGAUAAUACUGGUUCGUUUAGAGUUCUCAGGAAUCUCAUAAAAGGCCUUGGGCUUUCCAAUAUUUUAAAAAGUUGAAUCCAUUCUUCCCUGACUCAAGGUCUCUGUGGCUACAGCUGAUGUGUAGUCAAGCCAUUACCAUGGCUUCUCAGCAUAAAUAGAAAAUACUAACACUUUAUGGUCUCAAAAUUUUGUAGACUCUGAACUUUCUUGUAUGUGAUUAUGCAGAAUUUCUUAAAUGUUUCUUAAUCAGCCAGUAAAAUAGUCACCUUUCUUCCAAAGUUAAGAAAAGUUACCAAAACUUGGCAAUAAGAAAUAAGGCAAUUAAGUAAGUGGCAUGUCUUUUCAAUGUCAUAUGGGGAAAAAAGCCCACUUAAGGACUGUCUAAGAUAAUGCACUUUCUUCUACUCAUUGUUUACUCUUCUUCAGAAUUCCUGAACUUAAAGAAGUUACAUGUAAGUAGUUGGAUUUUUGUUCAUUUUGUAAAAACACAAAAACAGUCUGUCUGGCAGAAAGAAAGAUAACAACAAAGUUUACAAUUUAGUGAACUGGAAGAUAUUAGUUACUCUCUUCAAUCUUGUUGAAUUGGUCUAAACAUCUUUUUGUUUUUUUCAUUAAUUAAUGAAUUAAAUAAAACUUUUGACAUAUGUUCAUUACAAAAACAAUUAAAAAUUAUUUGUUGAACUCAAUAUCUGAAUUAGCUUAAAAUCAGAAUGGAGAUGACAGGGAGGAAUUAGCAAUCUUAAAGAUGGAUCAGUAGAAAUUAUCCAAGCUGAACAACAGACAGAGGAA
rnacentral:lncRNA from 1 species